GUGUUUUAUGAAAGUGAAGAAUCAGGUUAGCGCUACUCUUGAGAAGAAUGGAAAAAAAUUCUAGUGCCCUGUAGCACACACGUACAUUGAAGCUAUCACCACCUCUUUACAGUGUCUAAUGAUAUUUCUUA
ensembl:snRNA RNA, U6atac small nuclear 39, pseudogene